UCUCAACAUCACUCAGUUGGUAGAGCAUCGAUCUAGUAAUUCGAAGGUCGCGGGUUCGAAACCGACCCGCGGCGGGAA